CCAUAUCAUCUAACAACUGAAUUAGCAGGAUGAAGAACCUUUCCAUGUAGCUAUUUAUAGGUCUCAGACCUGUCUUCUUUCUCUUUCUUCCACCUGGAGGGCUCAGCCUAGAGUUUGAAGCUUGGAGAAGACUCUCACCAGGCCGCUGACUCCUUUGCUGUAUUUUCACAGUUGCAGAUAUACAAUCACUAUUAUCUGUCUCCCCGGCAAACUCUAAGCUCCACAAGGCAGGGAACUUGCUCUGCACUGUCAGGACCUUCGCCAGUGUGUGCAUUUGAUAAAAGGAACGAGGGCUACAACUUGCAAUGCAUUACGACGAUGACCACAAAUGACAGCCCCUCCUUGAGCACUCUUGGACGGUCACCUGGGCAUGGCUUGCCCAUCUGGCUCAUUUUGGCUACCACACAAGCAACAACUACAUGGGACCCGGAUACCAAGCAUGUUGGAUGUAGGACCAAACUCUAAGCUAUCACAACCUUACCUUGAGCACCUCUGCAAAAGCUCUAUUUCCUACUAAGGCCUCA